rnacentral:lncRNA from 1 species
AAUAAAUAAGUAGAACAAUCAAAUCAAAUCAAAUCGAAAAUGCAUUAAACACAAGACUAAAAUACAAAUAGUACGAGAGUAGAAUAGCUUGUCUCAUGUCAGCACAACAUAGCUAAAGAAACUAGACAAUCAUCCAUGAAAUUAGAUGAAGAUGAAAGGGAUUUUAAGGAGAUUCAGCAAGUUCCUCAACUAAAUUUUACUCCAAAUAACCUGUAUGAAAAAUAAAAUUGCACAAUACAUCAAAAAUAAAAGAACUUAGUAUUUAUCAUUGUAAGAGGAGAAGCAAAGAUCCCAACAAAUUGUUCGUAUUGAUCCUUCCUUCAUUAUCAUGUAUGCUUUGAGAGUAUUCAUCAAUUGAUCGUACUUCUCUUGGUAUCCAGAAGAAGUACAUCCAAUAUUACUACUCACAAUUCUAAUAUUAUCAAAAAGAAGAUUUGUCUCUUUGAAAGUAUUACUUGGAGUAGCUCCUAAUCUCUAACAUCUUACUCUUCCAGGAUGCUCUUUGCCUAGCACCUUACCAACAACAUCAUUUGGAGAAAUUUCAGACUCAUCCACUAUACUUUCAUUCACUACUAUAGCUAUGGAACAUUUUGGUUGUGCCUUAUUUUCUAUGAGGGACUUAAAAUGACCUAACAAUCUAUAAUAUAAAAUAAAACAUGUUUAGAAUAAGCACUUAACUUGAAUUAAUAUUACAUACAUCAAAAUUCCGAAUAAGAAAUAUAUACCUUUUAGCAAAAUACACUUGUAAUGUACCAGACCACCUUGUAUUGCUUCAUCUACUAGAUAUACAGUUAAAUGGACCAUUAUCAUUAAGAACGAUGGUGGGAAUAAUAUAUCCAAGUGGAAAAGUGUGAGCACAAUACGAUCGUGUAACUUUUUUACAUCUACCAAACUCAAUUUUAAAGAUAAAGUUCUCUAAAAAAAGAGAAAAGCUCUACUAAAACUGCAACAACCUCCUUUGUAGCACAUUGCGAAUUGCUAUUUGUAGUAAUUGCUCUAUUAUAGUGUGACAAUUAUGACUCUUUAACCCAAAAAUUCUACUUUGGUCCGGAUCAAUGCAAUCAUAAAUAUUACUAGAGUAACCAUCAGGGGCACUAAAAUAUUCUUUAAAGUUGUGAGGAAAGCUACUUUCCUUUCCUUUAGAAUGGUAAACAUAGCAAGCAGACACUCAUCAUGCUCAUCAGGCCAAAAAUCACGCCUUAUACCCUUAUCUUGUAGAUGUUUUCGCACCUUAAUAUUAUUUUUUGACUUGUCUUUAUAAUUGAGCAAAUAAUAUAUAAUAUUGUCAAUCACAUUCUUUUCGAUGUGCAUGCCGUCUAAAUUGUAGCGCAACGAGUUGAACUCCCAAUAUGGAAGAUUAAAGAAUAUGUUUUUUUCCUUCAUUGUUGUGUUGCACCUUGCCAAAUAUUUCUUUGUCUAGGUCUUUUCUUCUCUCAUUCAUCUCAGCUGGUUUUUCAAAUAAAACAUCAAUAUUUUUUACGUGUUGCAAAAUAUCAUAUCCGGAUAACUUUCUCGAUGGAUUUCUUUCCUCCACAUUUCCAUCAAAGUGAUGCCUCAUCAGUCUAACUUUAUGAUUUUUUGCUAAAAAUUUACGAUGACCAAUAAAGUACAACUUUCUACUAUGGCAAAGUCGACAAGGUUCUGCCUAAAAAUUACAAGUGGGACAAGCUAAAUCAAUAUGUGUGUUCCAACCAUAUAAGAUAUCAAGUCUAGAAAAUUCACUAAUUUCCACAUAAGAGCAGCUCGCAAUCUAAACAUAUCUUUCUUUGAUGAGUCAAAAGUUUCGAAACCUUCACUAUACAACUCAUUCAACUCCUUAAUAAGGGAUUGUAGGUAAACAUCUAUGUUAUUUCCCGCCGUACAUGGACCAGGAAUGGUCAUUGAGAGAAUAAAACAGGGUUGUUUCAUACAAAACCAAGGAGGAAGGUUGUAUGGAACUAAAAUAACUGGCAAAAUAUUAUAAUUAGUACUCAUCGUGCCAAAAGGAUUGAAGCCAUCACUAGCUAGGACAAGCCAAAAAUUUGAGGACCAAAGGCAAAUUCAGAAAAAUUUAUAUCAAAUCUCUUCCAUGCCUCACCAUCUCUAGGAUGCCUCAUGAUUCCAUCUUUGUUACUAUCCUCAGCAUGCGAUGUCAUAUAUUUUGCUAUUUAAGAACAAUCUCUGCAACUUUAAUUUUAAUGGAAAGUAACACAAAAACUUUUUAGGCUUCUUAGUUUUCUUUUUACCUGUAGCAGACACAAGCUCUUUAUUUCUAUUCUUGUUAGUCUUCUACCUAGAAGUGUGACAAUACUUGCAUGUUUUCUCACUACCAUCAUUCCCCCAAAAUAAUAUACAAUUACUUGGACAAGCAUCUAUCUUGAUAUAAUCAAGACAAAGCUUGUUGAUAGUUUUCUUAGCCUCAUAAAAAGAAUGAGGGAUCCGCGCAAAUGUAAGUGCAUCCUUCAACAAAUGUAGUAUCAUGGUCAUUCCCUUGCCACUUAAGCCAGACAAAUAUUUUAUGUGAUACAAUUUUAAUAAAAAAUCCGGCUUUGAGUACUUGGAUACUUCAUACAUUUCUUGACUUCCAUCUCUAAGCAACUCGAAAAAGUCUUCAUCAUUUGAAGCAUGCUCAUCAUUUAACCUUUCUUCACCACCCGCUAUUUGUGACGGGCCUAUGUCAACCCCAUCGUGCCUUAGGGCCCCAAAUGCUUUAUCGGUCAAUGAUUCUACUAGAUUAUCAGGAUGUAAUGUAUCUUGUAUAACCAUGUUAUUUAUAAAAUUGGGAAGUAUAUUUAUUUCACUAUGAAUAUUCCAAGUGAUAUAAUUUUGAGGGAAUGGUUUGCAAAUCAAAUGAACGAUCACUACCUCUCUAGUCUGCCACUUUUCGAAUCCCUAUUUAGGGAAAUGACACUUUAUUCUAUCUCCAACAACAGCAUUAGCAAAUGCAAAAUCUAAAAACUUACUUUAACCAAAUAGAUAUUCUGUGGUGUUCCUUUGCUUUCUAAUCCAAGAUUUAUCCAUAGAAAAGUAUUAGCUUUCAAGUCCAGCUAAUGAACCUUUCUGAAUAUAAAGAGAAAAUUCAGUUCUCUAUUAUUAUAAUACAAAAUACUAACUAUUAGUAAUUCUUUAAAAGUGAAAAACAAAUUUCACAAAGUGAUAACUCUAAAUCAGAGAAUCUUUUUUUUUAAGUUUAAUUUGUGGUAAUCUUAAAUGGAGCAACAUUCACAAUAAGGAUGCAUAGCCAAUUGGGAUUGAGGCACAGUAGUAAUUAUUAUUAUUUUUCAUUGGAUGAUUUUCUUAAGUUUAAUUUUACAAAUCGGCUAAUAUGCACUUACUAUUGUCUCCACUAACCUAUCCUAAGGUCCUUCGGUUUGCAGUUAAUAUCUUUUUCUUUAAGUAUGAACACAAAAAGCCUGAUUUCAUAUGAAUGAUUAAUCAGUAUAAUUAGAACCAUCCUAGACGACAAAAUGACAAAGCUUAUUUUUUCAUUAGCUCUGUUAUAUCCUUUCCAAGAUAUUUGAAAUCCAUUGUUAACAUUUUCCUUCUUCGAAAGCCAAAAGAAUAAAAAGCUUCGGAAAUUAAGCACUUUGUUGAUUCCUGUAUUCAUAGUUACCAGGAUACCAUGUUUUACACAAAAACUUUUACAGUGAGAUCGACCACUAAACCCAAAAGCACAAAGAAAAUAAGGAAAAAACACAAAAAAAAUUCAUAUAAAUUAACCAUUUAAUACACACAAAAAUUCAAUAUCAAACACCAUUUUAUCAUACAUAUCGACCAAAAUACGCACAAAAAUUCAAAAUUAAUAGAAAGCUCAUGAGGGAAAAUAAGGAAAGAAAGAGAAAAAUCAAACCUGGGAGGUGUAAAAAUGGUGGCGAUUGAAGCGGAGAACUUCAAUUAAUGGAGGUGUAAAAUAGGGUUGUGCACGGAUCGGAUCUGAUCGAUCAAAUUUAUCAUAUUUUGGAUUUUGGAUUCUAGAAAAUGCAAUUCGAAUCGGAUCCAAAAUAUAUAGGAUCGGAUCGGAUUUUAAUGUUUGAAUCGGAUCGGAUUUCGGAUCGUGUUAUUAUGCCUCAAAGUUACAAACUAAUAUGUAUAUUUUCUUUGUAAAAGAGGCAAUACAUUAAGAAAAAUUCAUGUUUAUGCAAUUAUGAGAGGACUAUGGUGCCAAUAUAGCUAAAUCUAGCAAUUGUAAAGACAAUAACUUUGAGUAAGAUGUAAAGAAAGUACUGACUAUCCAAAAUUAGAGUGUAGUAUUUAUACAUUACCUAAUAAUUCCUGAUCGGAUCAGAUCGGAUUAAAAUAUACCAAUCCGAGUUUGAAAUUUUAACAAACACAAUCCGAAAUCCGAAAUUCAAAAUUAAAUUGGAUCAGUUCGGAUUUCGAAUAUCCGAUCCGAAUGAACAACCCUAGUGUAAAACCAUUAAGCGGAGAAAUUCGAUUAA